rnacentral:rRNA from 1 species
GACGAACCGAGCGAACGUUGUUCGGAAUCACUGGGCUUAAAGGGCGCGUAGGCGGGUCAGCAAGUCCGGGGUGAAAUCUUUCGGCUUAACCGGAAAAGUGCCUUGGAGACUGCUGAUCUUGAGGGAGGUAGGGGCAUGUGGAACUUCCGGUGGAGCGGUGAAAUGCGUUGAUAUCGGAAGGAACGCCGGUGGCGAAAGCGACGUGCUGGCCCUCUUCUGACGCUGAGGAGCGAAAGCGUGGGGAGCGAACAGG